rnacentral:rRNA from 1 species
AGCGAACGCUGGCGGCAGGCCUAACACAUGCAAGUCGAGCGCCCCGCAAGGGGAGCGGCAGACGGGAGAGUAACACGUGGGAACGUACCCUUCAGUUCGGAACAACCCAGGGAAACUUGGGCUAAUACCGAAUACGUCCGUAAGGAGAAAGAUUUAUCGCUGAAGGAUCGGCCCGCGUCUGAUUAGCUAGUUGGUGAGGUAACGGCUCACCAAGGCGACGAUCAGUAGCUGGUCUGAGAGGAUGAUCAGCCUCACUGGGACUGAGACACGGCCCAGGCUCCUACGGGAGGCAGCAGUGGGGAAUAUUGGACAAUGGGCGCAAGCCUGAUCCAGCCAUGCCGCGUGGAUGAUGAAGGCCCUAGGGUUGUAAAGUCCUUUCGGCGGGGAAGAUAAUGACGGUACCCGCAGAAGAAGCCCCGGCUAACUUCGUGCCAGCCGCCGCCGUAACAC